UUCUUUUAGGUACAUUGUUAGUAAUAAAUUAGACGAUACGUCUUCUGAUGUUGCUUCUUUCAUUCUGAGAGCCAACAUCGGCUACAAAGCACUAUGGAAACUCGCUGAAUGUGUACUGUGCAUUCCCAUUUCGACUUACAGUGUGGAAAGGUCAUUUAGUACAAUGAACAGGGUGAUGAUAAAAUUGAGGAAUAGGAUGGGUCAGGAAACGCUCCAAGCUUGUGUGAAGAUUUCAACUGGAGGGGACAACGAGCCAACAGAAAGUUUUAUUGAUGACGUCAUCAAGAGAUAUGCUGUAAAAAAGCCUCGACGUAUUAGUUUGAUGUAAAUAUAUAAAUUUAUAUCUGGCUGCUACUCCGUGCUUUAAAGGCUGCAGACAAAUAAAGAGAAGUGAUAAAAAUCAAUAAAGUAUGUACUAAAUUAACUUAAUCAGAUCAGACCCUUUUGAUUCUGAAAUAUCCAAUAUGUUGUUGAAUCUGAAACUCGAUGUGAACUGGAGAAGUUGAAAACAGGUUGUUUUGUGUGCGAAGAUAAUAGGCUGACUGAAGUUACAGAAGAAGUUAUGGAAAUUGUGUAGACUGUUACUAAACUGUGAACUCAGCGAAAGAAACUGUAACACAGGAGACAUGUGGCAGGGUAACACAAACAAGGUGUGUGGUUGGUGAAGAAAGAACUACAGUGAUAAAAAGUAUUGUCUAAAUACAAAAAUGUUACAAUAAAAAUGUGGUUAUAUAAUAAGAGUGAAAAGAGGAUACAUGAAGAAGUUGGUUAACUGAGGAAGAUGAUGAAAAAUUUAUGAAAAUUAAAGCCAAUUAUAACGUUCAUUGACAUUUUCUUUGUAAAUAUUCGGUUUUAAAGGAAGUUGUUCAUGACUACUCCUGUGUUUGUAAUCUUAUUUUAGCAGUAUCCAUAAUAUCUCUUCCCUUUUAUACACUCUGUUCAUGCACUUCACAGGCUGGAGUCUAGUCUACUUACACGGAUGCAUUCUUUACACAUUAAAGAUAACUUUAUCGGUGUUCUCAAAAACUAUUAUUUCUCUUUCCAUGGGAGGAAAAAUUGUUAAGGGUUAAUGUUUCAUUAACAAUGAUGUCACUAGAAGUGGUCUUAUUGCUUCUCAUGCCAACAAAUGAGGAAGGGGAAGAAAAUGUAUGUUUCUCGAUUACUCCUUUCACCUUUUGUCGGAAAAUCUGGUUAUUUGAAAGACAAUAAAGCUAUUAAGUACUAUUCUUCCUUCUUUAUCUAUUUUGAUUGCAUCUGUAACAUGAGUUUUGAAUUUCAUAAGUGGUUUUCUUAAAUUGUAUGUUUUAUACUAUUAUUUUUCAACUUCUUGAAUUUAAUAUGGCAUUCCAAGAAAAGUAGCUGUAACAGCUACAAAAACAAGACUAAAAGCAAUAUGAUUAUAGUUCAUACUUUAUGGACUUUACUGAUGUAUUUAGUAAAACAGACUGAACAUGAUGAAUUCUCUAUUCCUCAUAACAGCUUAAUGCUGGGCACUUAAGACAUACAAAUUAUAUUCAGAGCUCCAUCUAUACAGAUUGUCUUGUAAAAUUCAUAACGGUUUUAAACUCAAUGUUUGUUUUCCGAACUCUCAAAUCUCAUUACAAUAAUAUGUUAGUGAUGUAGUAUUAUCACUCAGUGUGAUACAGACAUAAUAUAGAAGUUCUCGAAAAGUUUUCAUGUCCAACUUUCGCAUUUACAUGUCAUGUUUUUGAAGUUCUUGCAAGUACAACAAUAAGUUAUUAUACACUCUACUCACAACUGCAGUGCUACGACUUCCUAAACUUCUUUUGUUACCUAGGCUGUACAGUAAAUUAGGGGCAACUGAAAAUUUUAG